UACGUAGGGGGCUAGCGUUAUCCGGAAUUACUGGGCGUAAAGGGUGCGUAGGCGGACUUUUAAGUGAGAUGUGAAAUACCCGGGCUCAACUUGGGUGCUGCAUUUCAAACUGGAAGUCUAGAGUGCAGUAGAGGAGAAUGGAAUUCCUAGUGUAGCGGUGGAAUGCGUAGAGAUUGGGAAGAACACCGGUGGCGAAGGCGACUUGCUGGGCAGCAACUGACGCUGAGGCGCGAAAGCCAGGGGAGCAAACGGGAUUAGAUACCCCGGUAGUCCCU
rnacentral:rRNA from 1 species